UUCUUGUCCAUUGGAUCAUGCUGAAAAUAAAUCUUAACCCUCUAAACUCCUAUUUUUAACUGCUAACAUAGCAGUUCCCAGCAGUUUCAUAGUCUCCACAUUUUUCUGCCCAUGUUCUCCACAAAUCAUGUUUCCUAAUCUGGUCCACGUUCUAAUUGUUCCAACUCCCAUGUUUGCUUUAUAACCUCAUUCAAACUCCGCAAAACCACCGUUCUGCUCCUGUUCGUCUGCCUUCCUUCUCUUAAGCACAUCAUUUUUCUCUCAUGGUGGCUAAGGAUCUGAAGAUUCAAUCUAACAGCCCAACCUACCUGCCAGAAACCGAGACGGAAGAGGAAGAAAAUGAGGGAGUAAUUUCGGAUUUCGAAGCUUCAAUUUCCAACGAAGUUCAUCGGGUGACAAUCCGAACAUCAGGUGCUCUGUUUCUGAUAUGGUUUCUAAAUCAGUUAGUUUACGUUUCUAUAUACUGCAUUGUAAUUCAUGAAUCUUUGUAAGACCUAUUAAGUUGUUAUUAACUCAAAUAUGCAGGUCUUCUAUAUGAGGCUUUGGUGUCUAGAUGAAUAUUGCUAUUGUGAAUGAGGCUAUAAUCACAGAGGAGUCUACCCCCCAAUGGAAGGUAUGGAGUUCCUGAAGUGAUAGUGAUUCUGGAAGAAAGAAGACUGCAUUUAUGACUUUUAAAGAUCCAGAAGCUCUUGAAUUUGCACUAUUGCUAUCGGCUGUUCUAAGAGAUUUAUAUGCCUAUUUUGCUGAUAGGCCAUUGAAAGAAAUUCCACACAUAGACUCAUAGAGAUGCCACUUCAUACGAUAAUCAAGAUACAAAUGGGAGUGACUGGUGUGAAGGAGAAAUGGUUUUAAAGAAUCUGGUUGCACAUCCUAAUGAUAAAACUCAUCCCUUGUGAACUCUUAGCUGAAAAGAGACAAAAAAUGGAUGAUCUGGCGGAAAAAGCUGGAAGGAAUGUCAAAAGAUGGGUUCAUAUUAUUGGAAGUAAUGGUGGUAAGAAGCCACAUUAGAAAAUAAAGGAAAAUGAAAUAAGAAUGACAGUUGUUCAAGCAUUGUAACUCAUCUCUGCAACCUCACGCUCCACGUUCAUAUCAAACUCCGGGUGUGAUGGAUGGGCCGAGACGGAAUACGGCCUCAUUUGCUCUUGGCCUUCACAUCCCGACGGAGAGUGGAGAGUUUCAUCUUUUGUCUGAUGAUGGACCGUUAUUCCGCGCCAACCCUACCACCAUUGUGUUCACCAUUGGAGAACAAAUGCAGCCAGACUGUUGGAGCAACAUGCGAAUCUGGAGAGGGAGGAUGGAAUACUGCAACACAGUCUACUGAAAGGUUUUAUGGUUGCUUAUGUGUAUUUGGUUUUGUUUUUUAAUUGUUAGAUACGACUU
rnacentral:lncRNA from 1 species